GGAGGAGUAGCGAAGUGGCUAAACGCGACGGACUGUAAAUCCGUUCCUUAGAGUUCAGUGGUUCGAAUCCACUCUCCUCCA
rnacentral:tRNA from 1 species